UCUGCUGUCUUCUUAUCGGAACAGUAUCAAAAACGUAAAAGUUCUUGAAUGGGCACGAUUAGAGUACUAAGUAAAUUCUAGCUGCAAAUUUCAAUUGAAAUAAAGUUGAAUAUGUAAUCUUACUCAGCUGCCAAGUUUCUUCUUCAAUAUUAAUCUACGUUCUACGCCAUCAAACUUUUUUUGCCAUCACAUAUAUGUACCCACUCACUUGCCCGGCUCGGUUUUAAUGGUUAAGGACGGAUAAUUCGCUGCCCUUCCACACAGCUUUCUGAUAUACUGUGCUUCUGCAAGUUCUAUAUUUUGUUAAUUGACGAUUUAGUUUCUGAUUAAGUGUAAAAAUGAAUAAUAAUUUCAUAAUAGCAUACUCAAACAUUCAGCUCUUCACUGAAGUUGCAGCCAAGAAGGAUAAUGGCUUCAUUCAUCGCAUCAUCAGAUUCUUCUGAAUGUAAAAAUAUUGAAAGUUUCAGAACUCAACAAUUAGAAAUAAAGCAUUGCAGAAAGAUUGAGUCAAUAAAUCAUUGAGAAAAAUAUCACCCGCCAGCGACCUAGAUCUCUUACGCUUCAGUGAGGAAUUCUUGAAUUGUACACAUACCAUGAUCAAGCCUGACUGUUAUGAAUUAUUAGCUAACGGAUGUUUACUUUCCUUUAUACUAUUUCAUAAACUUAAACAUUACUGACUAUUUAAUUAUAGUAAAUGGAAUACUCUUCAUAUACUCACUAUAUUCUGAUGAAAAUUAAAAAUGUUUUAGCUGUCAAAAGUUAUGUCUCAAAAGUUCUGUCAAAAGUCUUACUAAUAAUAUUAAGAAUUUUCUAACAGUGAAGAACUAGUUACCCCAACCUCUGAUAUUUUAAAAUUGUCUAUAGGCCAAGAAAUAAUUACACCAACUUUUAACAGUUUUAAAUUUUCAGGCAAUCAAGAAAUAGUUACAUCUACCAUCGAGAGCUUAAAAUUAUUCAGCGGUCAAGAAAUAAUCAUUCCUAUCUUUGACAGUUUACAAUUUUAAAAGCGAUCACGAAAUAAUUUCAUGCAUUGGUUUUGCUAUUUUAGUAGUUUUCAUUCUUCUUCAUAUCAUUAUGUUCACAUUCCUAAAAAAAAUUAAGGAAUUUACCGGGGUACUGUUUCUUAUCCCUUUGCAUUGCUUUGCUGAUGGCCUAUGGAGGCAGCUUUAUCCAAUAUGGUUUGGCUGACUGAUCCGAGUGUUCUGUUGUUGAGAUGACGGUGUUUAACUUUUAUCUAGCAUCGUUCUCUUGGAUGGAUGUUAUAUCCUAUAAUGUGUGGCGACCAUUAAGAAAGGCACACCAUCUAAAUUACGAUUUAUGAUUAACAAAUCAAAGGAAGUAUGUUUUGCUUUAUAUUUCAUCUUUUGUUGGGGAAUCUCUCUACUGAUUAUGCUAAUUGCAUUUACUGAAGUCAGAACAAGUGACAAUACAGACUGAUUUUCUUGAUUGAAGUGCAGUGCGAAGACUGUAAAAAUAAGCCAGAUCUCUGGUUUUGUUUUUUAGGCCAAUGAGACAGACUGUUGUUAUGGAUUUUAUGCGACUUUUCCUUGAAUUUGCAUUUGCUACACAGAUUAUGUGAUACUGUUACGCGAUCUGCAGAAUUCUGGAAGAGGCUUUUUAAAUUUUAUCUUUAUUACGAAAACAAGGAAGGCCUAUGAAAAGGCUGCUCGCAAGAAUGAUCUUUGCGUUAAUGUGAGUCGUAGUGUCUAUACAGUAUUGAUUUCUAUAAAAGGUUUAGUAAUUGAAAAAUAAUUAAAUACCAGUGUUACUUUGCAUAUGGAUUUAGUAAUCUCUGCUAGAUUGAUACAAGGGAAACCGUGAAAAGAUUUAGCACUUACGUUUACUGUAAGUGAGAUACGAGAUUCACUCUGAAAUUUUCUUAAUAGAGCUAAAUGGCAAAUGUUAAAUUUACCAAAUCUUAGGUGUGUUCAAUGUAAUCUUCUGCAACAUAAAUGAACUUUGUAUGCGAAUUUUUCAAAGAUUAAAUAUCCAUUUCUUUAAUUGGGGGAAAAAUAUGCUUUUAUAAUUUCAUCAGUCUCCUCGUCGAAAUGAAAACGAUGAUUACGUAAAUUUUGCUUUAGAUAACAAAACAGCCAAAGAUCUACAUAACAAUAUCAUUCACAUAGGGUGAAUGUUCACUCACUGAUGAAUUUUGUUCAAGAAAUUCAGUUGUCAGUGUUGCUGAAAGAGAAGGUGCAUUAUCAUGAGCCACUUCUUGAAAGAUUUCUGGAAGAUAGUGGUGGAUCAUUUAAGUGUAACUAUUUUCUAUCCCUCUAACUUGAUGGCUCUGACCAGUCAUUUACUUCUGAAGAAACGGCAUACAUUACGUUUUUCAUUGCUCGUUGUAUUUCACAAUUGUAUGUUAGGUGCCAUCUUCAAAGACACAUACUUCAUUUUCUUGAUGAGUUGGAAAGUCAAAAACAGUGUAUAUAUUUUAUCAUCAGGUUAGGAUUUUAGAAAAAUGUGUUAUGUCGCGAAUUUUAAUUAUAUUACUAUUUGUUUUAAGUUAUCAUUAUUCUACUAUUUCUUUUGUUUGUACCCAUGUGUAUUCUAAUCUGGUAAAAGUGUUUUCUUAAGUUGUUAGGGCUUUACUAAGCUCGUUAUUCUUGAGACUGUAGUGUAAACAUACAAGAAACGGUUGCAAGAGCCACCUGGUUUAUGGCCUUUUACUGACAGUGGAAACAGUUAGGGUGUUGUGUUGUCACUUUCUUUGCUGAUGGCCUUUUUACUAAUGGCGUUGAAACGUAAAUCGUCUUUCUCAUACUCACUGCUUUCGCUAUGUUAUAGUUGCAAUUUUGCUUACUUAAAGACAGUAAGCAGUGGGUUGUUGUAAGCUUAGGUAAUGUAUUUUUCUUAUCGCUUAGUUUCUGCUUGUUAGCUGGGGGUUCAUCUUACUUCCCACGUUAAGAGUACAGAUGGUCAGGACAGCAUUGUCCGGAUUGCCUUGUUUUUGAUUCGUUGUGGGGGUGUAAUUUUCUCAGUUUAGAUAAAGUAAAAUUCUGGGAUUGACGUGAUUUAAUUUAAUGUAAUUUUGUAAGCCUAUGAACUUACGGAGACGGAGAGACCGAGAUUUCCUGGGAGGCUGCACCAUGUUAGAAUUAUUUUUCGAGCUAAAAGGAAUAGGAGAAAAAGAGUGGGGGCUUGACCCCUUGCGAGUCAUGCUCUCUCGAGCGACGUGAACCAGCGGGCUGUCAUUAUGGUUGUCGCGGAUUCUGAUUUAAGUGAAUUUUGAGCACCCGCGAUGUGAAAGAGAAAGAAAGAUCGAGGGGCGUUUUGCCCUACUGCGGGCUUCCUGAGCAAGAGGGCUUGAGUUGCGUUUUUUCCCUUUGCUCUAGUGGAUGCAUUCUUCCCUGCGAGAUGUUUAAAAGUUUUGUGUGAGGAAACAUUUUUCCGAAACAUUCAGCAUAAAAUGUUGAUUCUCCGCUUCGAUGAUGCAAGUGAUCGUGCUAAAAACUGGUGUAUGUUCAGCUACCUGCUAUUGAAUUGAAAUAAAGAUCCUUCUAAAUUGGACUAUUGAUUCCCAUCUAAUAACAGAUAAAGCGAUUCCUGGCUGUUUGAAGAAUUAUUAGACUGUAGUUUCCACUCGUGACUCCUAAUAAUUUUAGACGCUUCUGAAAGGGUUGUGACAGAAGGAAAAAUGGGCUUGGCUCAUAUCCCUGUGGACUGGACACUAGGGAUCCUGCUACCAGGAAAAACUGUCUUCCAUCUGUGAGUGAAAUUUUUUUAAGAUUAUUUUCUCUCUUAGUUUUCCCAAUGCCAUGGUGGAACAGUUACUAAUGAUUUAUCUACCUGCAUAUAUUAUCAUUACUUAUAUAAAUUAAAUAUAGCUAGUUAGUAAUAUUGAGAAGUGAUUUAUAAUUUCAAGUUAAGGCCAGUUUUAGAAGGAUUAAAAUUUGUUUCACCUAUUGAAUUUGUGAGUUAGAAAAAUGUUAAUUUCUAAUUAAUGAGAACCAUUUAUUUGGAGAAUUAAAAAUAUGUUACACCUUCUUAAUUUGUGAAAAAAAAAUUUGUUAAUUAUUGAAAGCUGUAAUUUUGUGUGACAUUAUGUGUUACUUUUCAUAGUAAAAUAUGUGGUAGGAUUACUGAUUAGUUAUCCAAUAUUUAGUAAUAUAAUAUUAUUCUAGAAAUCAAUAAAUGUGUAUGUUUAAAAUUUAAUUGCAUUUUAUUUUUAGCUUGUGUGUAUAUUUUUGGGGUGGUUUGUCAUGUCUGUGUUUGAGCCGGGAGGCGUUUAAGAAACAUGGAGCUUUUAUUGAAUUUGGAUUAUUGAUUUUCCCUAGAAGGCUUCACAACGCACCCUGUUGUACUAACUCAUUACCACUAUACGAUAUGACUUAUGACGAAUGUGAUUUUUUUUUUUUAGUUAGUUUUGCCUGGAACCAUGUGUUAAAUUGAGUCAAAGUUAAAAGUAUUAAGAGUUUAAAACCCCUAAACACCUAUAAAAGUAAAAAACACCUAUAAUUUUCAGUUAUUUAACAAAUGCGGUGUACACCAUUAAGUAAUUUUAGGGUUUCUUUACGUUCCGUGUUUUCAUAGUCUGUUAAUGUAUGCGGGACUCAACAACAAACUGAUUUUUUCAUAGGGAAUCCUUCGUGAAUACUUUUAUGUAUAGCUGCGAAUCAGAUGAUAUGUGCCUCUGUAUCAUUUGUCAGAUACAGCGAUUAUCACUGAUGAAAAUAUUUUAGUAUCCUCGACACAUUUUCUGGAACAGCAGCUGUCAAAGGACAUCCUGUAUAUUUUUCAUCAGGGAGAAAAUUUUGAUCUCUACGAAAUUUUGCAAACCAUCUAAAUACAGUGGCACGUGAUGGAGCUUCAUUUUCGUUUAAUAAAUGGAGACGUUAAAGACACGCACUUUCAUUUAGGUGCACUUACAAAUCAUAGAAAAUUAUAGGGCAAUAAUGGUCGCGUCAUCGCAGAUUGCAGAUAUUGCCACAAAUUGUGGUCUGCCGACAUAAAAGAUUUCAAAUUUACAUAUCUAAGAAAUAAUUGUUUUUAGCAUCUGUUGUCGGCCCUUGUCUGAAUAAUUUCAGGGAUACCUAGGUGUUGUUGGUUUAUUUUGAGGUUGGAAGAAAAAUCAAGGAUGCUCCAGACCUUCCAAUUGCUAACAGGAUGUGCUUCCAAUUAUACCAAUGAGAUAACCCGUGACAAAAAUGAAAACAUCUUACAAACUUAAAGUUUAUUAGCACAAGGUGUGCUGUUAGUCUUUAGCCUCACGUUUUUGCCUAUAUCACUUCUCGAAUAAAAGGAUGCAGUCACCGUUAUCGCCGUGUAUUAUUUUUAAAGACAUAAUGUAGCGAAAAUCAAAAAAUAUAUACCAACACUAAAAAAUAUACACUGGUGUGCAAAAAUUAAGAACGAGACGGUUUUUUCAAUAUC